CAUAUCACAGUGAAACAUCGGUUCACGUAGAUCACUGAAGUUAUGCAACGACGAGCCUGGUCAGUACCUUGAUGGGUAACCGCUUAGGAAUACCAGGUGCUGUAA